CCUACGGGUGGCAGCAGUAGGGAAUAUUGCUCAAUGGGGGAAACCCUGAAGCAGCAACGCCGCGUGGAGGAUGAAGGUUUUCGGAUUGUAAACUCCUUUUGUUAGAGAAGAUAAUGACGGUAUCUAACGAAUAAGCACCGUCUAACUCCGUGCCAGCAGCCGCGGCAAUACGGCGGGUGCAAGCGUUACUCGGAAUCACUGGGCGUAAAGAGCGCGUAGGCGGGAUAGCAAGUCAGAUGUGAAAUCCUAUGGCUUAACCAUAGAACUGCAAUUGAAACUGUUAUUCUAGAGUAUGGGAGAGGUAGGUGGAAUUCGUGGUGGAGGGGUAAAAUGCGUAGAGAUCAAGAGGAAUACUGAUUGCGAAGGCGACCUGCUAGAACAUAACUGACGCUGAUGCGCGAAAGCGUGGGGAGCAAACAGGAUUAGAUACCCGGGUAGUC
rnacentral:rRNA from 1 species